AGUGAACGCUGGCGGUAGGCCUAACACAUGCAAGUCGAACGGCAGCACAGUAAGAGCUUGCUCUUACGGGUGGCGAGUGGCGGACGGGUGAGGAAUACAUCGGAAUCUACUUUUUCGUGGGGGAUAACGUAGGGAAACUUACGCUAAUACCGCAUACGACCUACGGGUGAAAGCAGGGGAUCUUCGGACCUUGCGCGAUUGAAUGAGCCGAUGCCGGAUUAGCUAGUUGGCGGGGUAAAGGCCCACCAAGGCGACGAUCCGUAGCUGGUCUGAGAGGAUGAUCAGCCACACUGGAACUGAGACACGGUCCAGACUCCUACGGGAGGCAGCAGUGGGGAAUAUUGGACAAUGGGCGCAAGCCUGAUCCAGCCAUACCGCGUGGGUGAAGAAGGCCUUCGGGUUGUAAAGCCCUUUUGUUGGGAAAGAAAAGCAGCAGGUUAAUACCCCGCUGUUCUGACGGUACCCAAAGAAUAAGCACCGGCUAACCUCGUG
rnacentral:rRNA from 1 species